AAAACUGCUGUAUUCAUAGGGUAGGAUGAUAAUCAUAACAUUGCCACAGUUUAGUCACCACUGAUAGCAAGUGGGUUCACAAUACUCAAAACACAAAGGAAUCAGAAAGGAUAACUUAUUCAUGAUGCACAAAAAGUCUCCUACAGCCAAGCCACUCCUAGACUACUACCCGAAACAGUUAAAUCAUCCUCCUGACCACGGAGAUGGGCAAGCUUGCACGCUGACGACAAUGUCAAGUUGAGCUAGCAAACACAACCAUUCAUCUUCGACGGAAUAACACGGUGCAGUAAGAGCCAUUCAGUAAUUAUCCAUUCAGUAAACAAUACAUGCUAUUAUUAAUCUGUUCCAAACACAACCAAUCAGUAAACACAACUUAUGCAGCAUCAUUAAACUCAUCCUCCAGUUGCCUUUUAGUGGGUGGUCUCCCCCUCUUCCAUCCCAUCUUGCCCCGCAAACUCCCACUUGCACCUCGUUUCUUAUUGAUGUUAUCCGGGUUCAAAUCACACCCCGUACUAUAAUGACCUAAAGAUCCGCAAUAUCCACAUGCUGCUGCCCCUGUGCCUUAUUGGAACUUGCAUGUUCAUUAACAACCUGUUUCCCUCCACGCUUCCUCCCCUUUGUUCUUACCUCCCUUGGUGCACACUCUGAAAUUUGGACUGCACUUUCAACUGCUGCAUCUUGUUCAGCCCAACUAGCUAUAGGUUCACCUAUAAUAUGUGGGAUCACAUCACUUUGUUCUUCUGUAUGAUCCCCCACAUGUAAUGCUCCUGUAUUCACCCCACUCAACCAAUGCAGACAACCUUUCUCGAACCAAUGCUCACAGCCUUUCUUGAACCCAAGACUUGUUUUGCGGCAUGCCC
rnacentral:lncRNA from 1 species